UACAGAGGUGGCAAGCGUUGUCCGGAAUCAUUGGGCGUAAAGCGCGUGUAGGCGGUUCGGUAAGUCCGCUGUGAAAGUCGGGGGCUCAACCCUCGAAUGCCGGUGGAUACUGUCGGACUAGAGUACGGAAGAGGCGAGUGGAAUUCCUGGUGUAGCGGUGAAAUGCGCAGAUAUCAGGAGGAACACCAAUUGCGAAGGCAGCUCGCUGGGACGUUACUGACGCUGAGACGCGAAAGCGUGGGGAGCAAACAGG
rnacentral:rRNA from 1 species